rnacentral:lncRNA from 1 species
UGGACCUUUAGAGUUAUUUAUCUACAUGCCCAACCUGGCAGCCUAAGCACAUCUCAGAGGCUGCAGGCCAUGUUUAUAAAGGAACCGGGCAGCUGAAGCAUGGACUGUAAGGUGAGUGACUAAGGAAGAGAGACUGAGGCAGAGACUUUUGGAAUGUUGAGAUAGGAGAACAUGUAGGUGAGAAUUGUGAUGGAAAUAGAGAAAAGGGGGAAAUGCAGGAUUUAACAGAAAGAGGUUAUAAGACUCAGAGAGUUAAUAGGAAUCAAAGGAAAGGGUGGAGAUGGAAACCAAUGUUCUUGGGUGCUGGCUUGGUGCUAACCAUUUGCCCCUAGGAUCUCAUUUAUAUCUCAUAAGAUUCCUCUGAGUUAGGCAUUAUUUCUCCCAUUUUACUAGGGAAGAAGUUUAGAAAGGUUGAUUCACUUGCCCAAAAUUGUAUGAUGGACAGUUAGUUGAGUCUUUUUUUUUCCCCCAGAAUCUGCCUGACUCCUAAACCUGUACUCUCUUCUUACCAAGAAAGCCUUAAGGUUUCUAGUUUGGGAGACUACAAAGCUGAUUUUACUAUGAGCAGAGAGAGCAGCACUGAUAGAUGGAGAUGAAGAAAAUGGUCCCUUCUGUUUGAAUAUGCUGAGUUUGAGAUGAAGAGCUGGUUAAUUAUCAAUUUUUGUGAGAAAGGAAGGCUGUCCUCAUCUUUUGAAAGUCCUCCGAGCACAGCAGGCUAUGCAUGGUACGCCUCCAGUUUGUGAAAACAUCGGCAUCUGGAUGAACCCGACGAGUCAUCUGUGCCUUCUGCAUUGUGUCUCUGUGUGCCCUAAAACAGCACAAGCCAGCUGAACAUGUUCAGGUUUCAUCCCAUAGGACUUGGAAGACAGAACAGAGCAGAAGUCCCCUUUGACAACUUUUGGCUACUUUCUGCUGAGGGCUGAGGCCCCCAGCCUCCUGGUAUCCAGGGCACUGGCAGGAGUGGCAGCUGCACCUUCCAGUCCCCAGGAUCUCAGUUGUGAUGGUUCAUUCUAGAACUGAGGGGCUCAAGAGAUCCCUGCAUGGGCUGAAGGAGCAGGCUCCAGGCUGGGCUUUGGAGAUCAAGUCCCAGAACUCCACCACUGCUCAUUUCUUCUGCGAAGCUGCUCCCUCUGCCAUGGUCAGUAGGUAUGGGAGAGCAGGAGCUGUCAUUGGGCUUGCUGAAUUCACAGCUACAACCAAGGAUGGAAAAGCUACUACCAAACACCCACGAAGAUACUGGCCAGACCCACAUCCCUGCUGAUGAGCUUGUGCCACAUUUCUAG